GACGUAAGUAACCGGAAGUGAAAUUUCACCUUCUUAGCAACGCGCGCGAGCGCGCGCAUGAAUCGGUCAAUGGGCCCUUAAGGUUUACCGCUGUCCAGUAAAAUACUGUAUCGCGCCCCCCAAAAAACGUAUUUCCGCGGAGUCAUCCAAGCAGAACAUCACAAUCGCAUUCUCGACCCCAGACCCUUCGCUUUCUUAAUCGCGCCGAGAAGAGCUCUGGGGUCGAGAAUGAUCGCAAUCGCAUAUUGGUCCAAUCUCGUUCCCAGAGCCUUCGUUACCUUUGUCCAGCGGAACGGUUUCCCGUUCCGCUGGACAAGGGUAACGAAGGCUCUGGGAACGAGAUUGAUAUUGGUCAAGUUUACACAGAAAUCACGAGAUGUAGGAGCUUAUUUCUAAGAUGUAUGGUUGCCUGGCUUUCCUGGCAUUAAUUAUUCGUUUGGCUUAAGUUGUUUUGGAAGGAAUUUGCGUCAGAGCGGAGAUGGAAAAUUCAAAAUACAAGCAUUUUGGGGACACGUCUGAUGCUGAAGUCCAUAUUUAGGCCAUUGAAACGAUUGUACUUUGAACUGUGCUUCGUUCCACCGCUAGCUCGAACGGCUGGUAGUCGAGCCAAGAAGAAAGCGGCUUUUAUCAUAUGCAGGAUCAGAUGCAGGAUCAGAUGUAGUAUACCUUCCAAAGCGACUGAAAAAAGAAAGUCACGAACACACAGGAGGUUGUUAAUUUUGGAUCUUACAAUGUGAAAUGGAACAAUUCCAGACUUAUUAAAACUGCUUCGUCUAAAGAAAGGGGUAGCUCACCAGGGAAGAAUGGUUGAACUACACACCAGCCGAGGAUACUGUGCACAAGCAAUUGUAACUGUUUCAUAUCUACAGAUUGACCCACAAACACUUCAUAUCAUGUGGGCUGUCUCCACUCAUGGGAAUUCUCACACGAUGAAGAACUACAAAUGAAUCAAGCUGGAAAGAAUUUACAGAAGAUGCUCCUGUAUCAGUUGAACUCGGCAAUCUUCUUACUAACUAAUUCUGACCUUGAGGUGGCAAUGGAAUACCAAUGAAAGACUGGAAGGUUUACAAAAGGUCAGUAACAGUAAAGUUAGGACUUUGCCUAAUGGGAGCCGCAUGAAGUAGAUCAAUAAAGACUUGAAUUUAAGGCUACUGGAUUGGAAACAGGCAAAGCGUAUGAGUUUCCAGGGAAUGUCUUGGCAAAAAUGGUGAAGACUGAAAAGAUGAAGAUUAUCAGCAGAGUGAAGAUUUCAAGGUAAAUCUCGAAAAGAUGAAGCUAAUUUGGAAUCAUUCAAGCUCAGGAUUAGUGGUUUGAGAGCAGGGGUUGUUACAUAGAUUUCAUUUUGUAUCCUUUUACAUACGCACAUAAAGGAAAGUCACCAUUAUCGAGAGCUGUUUGCUUUAUUCAGAGCAACGUACACUUACACCUGCAGUUUGUCUCAGUUUGCUGUCUAGUAAUUCAGUACUUAAAAAACUACACAAAAUGCUCGUACUCCUAUUAAAAUGUAUCAUUUCUUUUAAGGCGUAGAUGAGUUGAUCGUUUUUAAUUUUUGCUUAGAAGAGUUUCGAAAAGGCGAAUUAUCCUGUACAAUCAAUUAAUUUAAUUUUUUUCUUUGAUGUGAUAGAGUUAGUAUCUUUAUUACAGUCUCCUGAUUAAAAAACGUUAUAGAAAAACAUUUUAAAAGAAAUUUAAAAGCCAUUUCAUCCCGUCUCGGCGUCAUCUUAUCGCCAUUUUUGCAAAGCUGUUUAACAAGCUGGAGCUUUUUUUCUUGACUCUUUCACACCUGAACUAAUACGUAUUGGAAGCCUAUUAUGACUUAAAAAUCUACUUUUGUAGUGGGAACCAAGAUGACGCCGAAGCUACCGUUUAAAUGUCGUUUAAAAUGUUACAAUCCUACUAAAGGUAAAAGGUGGGAAUCGUAGUGAGUUCAUUUCAUUACCUAAAAUAUUACCGCAUUUGUGCUGUUGUUUUCUCAGUCAGAUGAUAAAUGAGUUAUCAAAUGAACGCCCAAGCAAUUAAGGAUAAACACAACUCGUGAUAUUUGCUAGUUCUUAAGUCUUCAAAUAUCUCUCACAGUAUAAAUCCUUAAUUAACCAUUAUAUGCUGUAGUAAAAUCAAUUUCUCGAUCUUGACUGACAACAUAACCCCAUUCAUACCAGAGAAAGGAGAACGGGAAUGUGGUCACGUGAACCAUCAUUCUCCAGAGAGAUUUCUGUUUUCUUCGAUCGGGUGCAAUCUUGUUGGAUCUUGAGCUGUGCCUAGUAAUUUUGAUUCGUUCUUUAUAUUUGACCAACGUUUUACAAACUGAGCUUUGCAGUCAACAGAGUUAUAUUGAAGUUGA